CUCCUACGGGAGGUAGCAGUGGGGAAUUUUGCGCAAUGGGGGAAACCCUGACGCAGCAACGCCGCGUGGAGGAUGAAGUCCCUUGGGACGUAAACUCCUUUCGAUCGGGAAGAUUAUGACGGUACCGAGAGAAGAAGCCCCGGCUAACUUCGUGCCAGCAGCCCGCGGUAAUUAC
rnacentral:rRNA from 1 species